rnacentral:rRNA from 1 species
GACGGAGGGUGCAAGCGUUGUUCGGAUUGACUGGGCGUAAAGGGCGUGUAGGCGGUCGGCCAAGUCUGAUGUGAAAGCCCGAGGCUCAGCCUCGGAAGUGCGUCGGAAACUAGUCGGCUGGAGCGCGAUAGAGGAGGGUGGAAUUCCUGGUGUAGCGGUGAAAUGCGCAGAUAUCAGGAGGAACACCGACGGCGAAGGCAGCACUCUGGGCCGGUACUGACGCUGAGGAGCGAAAGCGUGGGGAGCAAACAGG